GGCCGCCUGGCGAAAUGGCAUCGCGUCUGACUACGACACUUCGAAAUGGUGACAGUUAUCAGGAGAUUGCAGGUUCGACCCCUGCGGUGGUCA